AACGAACGCUGGCGGCAGGCCUAACACAUGCAAGUCGAGCGAAGCCUUCGGGCUUAGCGGCGGACGGGUGAGUAACGCGUGGGAACGUGCCCUUUGCUACGGAAUAGCCCCGGGAAACUGGGAGUAAUACCGUAUGUGCCCUUCGGGGGAAAGAUUUAUCGGCAAAGGAUCGGCCCGCGUUGGAUUAGGUAGUUGGUGGGGUAAUGGCCUACCAAGCCGACGAUCCAUAGCUGGUUUGAGAGGAUGAUCAGCCACACUGGGACUGAGACACGGCCCAGACUCCUACGGGAGGCAGCAGUGGGGAAUCUUAGACAAUGGGCGGAAGCCUGAUCUAGCCAUGCCGCGUGAUCGAUGAAGGCCUUAGGGUUGUAAAGAUCUUUCAGGUGGGAAGAUAAUGACAGUACCUGGAGAAUAAGCUCCGGCUAACUCCGUGCCAGCCGCCGCAGUAAGAC
rnacentral:rRNA from 1 species